UGGAAAUUAAUUUAUCUACCUAAAAUAUUGGGCCAAAUCCUAUUCCUAUUCUACAAAAUCUAUGGCCCAAACCGACCCGGGCCCAAAUCCUAAGUCCCUAAAUCAGUAGAAUUCACCUCUAAUCAAACCAGCCUCCCUUAUCUCCCUAGUCAGUCUUUCAUCUUCAACCAAACAACCCUAAUCAAACGCUCCUCUCUCUCUUUCUCUUCCACAUCGCCGCCCCAUCCCCCAUCACGUCAUUUCCGUCACCUCACCACCACCACGCCCAUAUCCCACAAAAUCCGCUACCUACACCCCUCUUCUCCUUUCUCACACUCCAUCUCUGAAGCUUGCAGGCUCCAUGUGCGAUUUCAGCGGAUUUUAUGUUCUCGGCUGAGCAAGGACUGUUUGGAGCGGAUUCGGAGACUCGACGACGACAAUAGCUUCAGUUCGCUGUCACAAAGAAGGAACCUUGGGAGCAUUUGGAGUUAUGGCAACUCCGGAUUCUGCCCAUAUCAGAGAACAGCCGGUUGCAAGAUUUAAUUGCUCGUGUCUAGCGUCCCCGUCUUCCUCCCUCUCUUUAAAUUUCGUGCCUUUCGCGUUAUCAUGUAUAUACAGUUUAUAUUCUUGACUAACAUUUGUUUUUUAUGGAUUGUAUUUGUAGCAUAUUUGUCUCUCGCUUGUGUACGAACUUGCGAAAAAAAAUUGUUUAGUAUGAUAGUGAAUGUAGUCAUUCACUUCCCUUCCCUUUCUAGAUACCAAUCCCGAUUUAGAGUGAAAGACGUUUUACUAAUCGUUUUAAGGGAAUGUCUUUUAGUAUAUUUUCUAGAUUCAAAUUA